rnacentral:rRNA from 1 species
CACGUAGGGCGCAAGCGUUGUCCGGAAUUAUUGGGCGUAAAGAGCUCGUAGGCUGUCUGUUGCGUCCGCUGUGAAAACUCGGGGCUUAACCCCGAGCCUGCAGUGGAUACGGGCAGACUAGAGGUAGGUAGGGGGGAAUGGAAUUCCCGGUGUAGCGGUGAAAUGCGCAGAUAUCGGGAGGAACACCGGUGGCGAAGGCGGUUCUCUGGGCCUUACCUGACGCUGAGGAGCGAAAGCGUGGGGAGCGAACAGG